UACGAGGGGGGCGAGCGUUGUUCGGAAUUAUUGGGCGUAAAGGGUGCGUAGGCGGCCUGACAAGUCUGAUGUGAAAUCCCUGGGCUCAACCCAGGGCCUGCAUCGGAAACUGUCGGGCUUGAGUAUGGGAGAGGUGAGUGGAAUUUCCGGUGUAGCGGUGAAAUGCGUAGAUAUCGGAAGGAACACCGGUGGCGAAAGCGGCGCGCUGGAUCCCUUCUGACGCUGAGGCGCGAAAGCCAGGGGAGCAAACGGG
rnacentral:rRNA from 1 species